AUGAUUUGAUGAUGACAAAUGGAAGUGCUCGGCCGGGCCAGGACUGAUUUGAUUUGUUCAAUUAGUCAGUCGUCAUAAAUCGGAAAUCGGGAAACAACAAAUGGACAGAGAGAAUGAUUAUAAUCCAUGUCUCAGUCCAUAUGAUAUCUAGAAUGGAGGAAUAUAUGAUCCCUUAUCUAAUGGACAAGUCAUUGACAAAGGUCAGAGUUCAUCGACAAGGUCAGAGUUCGACAGAAGCUUUUGAGAGCUAUGAUUGCUAGUCGGGUUAUGAAGUCAUACUUGCAAUAAUAUUUUUAGACUUAUCCAAGUGGGAUACUAUUGGAUUAAUGUCUAAGUCCAUAACUAUAAUUGGUAAGACUUGACCCGACCUGGCAUGGUCCAUUUGGGGUGCUUGGCAUCGGGACAAUUGGAUUGACAAGAUGAGGAAAAAGGAUACUGUUGAUUUAUAUUAAUAUAUUAUAAGUUCUAAUAUAUUAAUAUAUAAUCAUAUUAUUUAAUUAGUAUUGAUCAAGAAUUAAUCUAGGAUUAAUUAAGUGAUCAAAAGAAGACUAAUUAAAUAUAUGGGUUGAUUGUGUAAAUCAUCCAUACUUGUAUAGUGGGCUAAUGCUCCAUGGAUAAUCAAGUUGGGCUAAAACCCAUAGGAUGGUCCAUGGAUGCUCCAUGGUGUAUUUGUACCCAUGGAUCCAAGGAAAUGGAAAGCCAUGACAAUUAAGAGUUUACCCUAAUUGUGUAACUAUAUAAGCAUCUUAUUAUUGAGGAAAAAUCGGCCACUAGAGAUAGUGAAGAAAGGGCUAGCCGAUUUUGAUGAGUGUAGAAUUCUCUCAAGUCAUUCUAAGUGUUUUGAUGAUUGUGAUUCCAUUUGAGGUGUCACACUUGGGGCACUAGGCACUCAAGCUUCAUGAAGACUUUCUACACCAAAGAGGUAUGUAUUCUAUCUUGCUAUAGUUAUUGUUUUGUAUGCUAGAUUAGGAUAAUACCUUGGAAGUUCUUAUUUGCAUGUAUAAUAGAGAAAACAUAGAUCCAAGGUAUUUAGGGUUGCAUGUACACUUAGGAAGUGUUAGAAUGCUCAAAACCCAACAGUGGUAUCAGAGCCACGGGUUGUUUUCUGUUAUAUUGAUGCAAAUAUUUUAUUUUCAAAGUUGAAAAAAAAAAAAAAAAAAAACAUGAAGUUUGUCAAAUUUUAAGAUAAUUACUUGUUCUUGUGAAAAACUAAUUAUUUGUAAAAUUUGAAUAAUUUGCUUUAUGAGUUGAAUUAGGUCAAAUUUAAUAAAAGAUAAAAUAAUAUGAUUAUUUUAUUAGUUUUAAAAGUUUGAUCUAAAGAGUUUUAUUUUUUGAAACCUCCAUAAGUUAUGGAUAUGAAAAGGUUUUAAAAAAAAAAUUGAUUCAAAGUUUUUUUGGAGUUACAAAAUUUGGUGUUAAUGUUUUAAAGGAUUCCAUAACUUAAGAAUAAGUUAUGGAUCACCAAAAGUUUUUUGUGUUACCUUGUUUUAUGAGUGAAUUUAGAUUAAUGAAUAAAAUUAUGUGAUAGUUGGUUUUAAUCCAAAUUAAUCUAAGAAUUGAUUCUAAAAUGUGUUUUUGUAACUUGUCCUCAAGUUAUAUGAAAAGUCACAUUUAAGAAUCAUAAAACUCAUAAAAAUUGGCAAAGGUUACAAAAAUGAAGAGUCUAGUUCUAAUUAAAUGGUUUUAUGACUCCAUAACUUGUCCUCAAGUUAUGGAGGACCAAGAGUCUCUUCAUUUAAUAAAAUAAAAUAAAAAAAAAAAAAGUGUAACCUUAAUUAAUUCCAUAAGUUAUAAAAUAAAGAAAAGUUAAUUCUUUUAUUAGUUUAAAGUCUUCCAUAACUUGUCCUCAAGUUAUGGAACUUGAAGAGUUUUUGGAUUAAAACUACUUUAAACACAUAAGUUAUGGAAUUAAUUAGUUUUGAAUAGUUUCAAAACUUGCCCUCAAGUUUUGGAAUUUGUAAAGUUUUCACUUAUGAAUACUUUAAUUCCAAGUUAGCCCUUAGAAUUUUAAAAGUUAAAAUUCAACCCUUAUACUUUAUAAUAUUAUAAGUUAAUAAUAUAUAUAUGUAUAAGAGUAAAGUCAGUCUUACCGCUAGUACGCCUCAUUCACGAAGCCGGUCUAUAAGGUGGGUAUAAGGUUGUUGCCUAUAAAAUGGCAACUUAAUGGGUGUCCACUCUCACCCACCGCUUGCUUGACUGGUGGAGGGUCGUUAGCCGAACGGGUUUGACAGGACUAGAAUUCUCCCUUCAUUAAAAGUAUUAAUGAUAAUACUAAGUAACUAAACUCUUAAUAAUACCCAAUCUUAGUUACUUAGGAAAAAUGUGAAUAAGGUGCUAAUCCAUGAAAUUACACUUUACACUUUGUCUAAGUCGUUAGUGGAGCGUGUGUGGUUAACCGGCACACUAACUUGGACUUAACAAGGUAGGUAAAGGGUGACUUAAUAUUUAUCAUAGUAUCGAUGGAGCGUGUGUGGUUAACCGGCACAUCGAUUGAGGGGUAAUUUAUUAAGGGUACCAAGUGAUUUGCAUGGUUACUUCACACCUUGUUUUGUGAUCCUCGGCAUCCCAGUCACAAAACCUGAAGGGCACACUCGAGAUUGAAACAUGCCUUUGAAAAGUUCAAUGAAUCUCAAAGAUCUAGGAGUUUCAAAACCAAUUAAAACCUAAUAAUACAUUUCGUUUAUCUUGGUGGAAAUUGGUGAAUCGUCAUUCACCUACCUUCAAAUAUUUUAUAGCUUGGAUUACGGCAUACCUCUUCUAAGUUAUAAAAUAGUUUGUUGGGUCCUAGCCUUAAUAUUUCAUAUUGGGUGUCAUAUUAAGGACUUUAAAUCAACUAUCUUGAAUAUCUCCCAAAAGAUGUCUGGUUUAGACACCUAUGAUCUUCCCAAAUCUCUUGAAACAAGGUUUCCUAAUGAAGAUGAUGUCCCAUGGAUAUCAUACUUCUUCACCUCUUCAAAUUAUUCUCCCUAACCCACAAGUUCUUGAAAAGUUUAAGGUCACUCAGGCCCUUUUGGCAAGGCAAGGUCUAGGUGUGGUCACAUCUUGGAGAUGUAGUCACAUAUUGACAAGCCGGGAGAGUUGGGUGUCAAAGUCUUGAGAAAGUUGGUGGUUCAACUACUUUCUAAGUCACAUAGUGAGUUCUUUUGGAACACCUAUGAAAAAGACUAUGACAAGACCCUUAAUGAUCUUAUCUAUUUGUUAAGAUCAACUUCCUAAAACUUUAUGGACAUUGACAAUGAUGACAUUGGAUAUCCAGUAAAGCAUUCUCUUCCCAAUGGAAAGGGAUCGGCUAUAGUCAACUCGGUUGACCAAAUGGUAAAGAGAAAAGCUAAGUCUGUGAUAGUCCUGUGUACCAUUAUCAAAGGGUCCAUAUGUUUGUAUUGCCAAAGAAAGGGCAUUGGUUGCGAAGCUGCCAAAUUUACCUAAGGAUGUUAAAGUCAAUAAGUUUGACUCUACUUCAGGUAAAAUCCACUAUCUAACUCUGUUAAGUUUCUAUUCUGAGAUUCUUGAUACAUGAUGUGACCGGGUCGCAUGGUGAUGGUUUAAGAAUCAAAGGAAAGUGAAGAAACUUAAAGGAAGAAUAUGCUGAAUCUGAUCGCAUAGAUGGAUUUCUAUCGCAUAGUUUGAAAAAUCGGAUUCUUGAGCUACUUCUUAGGAGUUAUGAGAUAUUGCUUAGGAAUAGAUAACAACAAGUUUUCAUAUGGAUUGUAAGGAUAGUUUUUCCGCAAAGUUUUAAAAUAAAAGGAAAUUUUUGAUUUUAUUUAUUUUAAAAUAUCCUUACAAUGGCAUCUGUGGAAAUUUUUGUUGCUUAUAAGAUUCCAUUAGUAGCAAGAGUGGAAGUAUGAAAUUGAUUCUUUCAUUUGUGGUAAUGUCUAAAUUUACCAAAUAAGGAAAGAUUCUCAUCACCCAAGUUUCAAUUGGACCGGAACUUGGAAUCAUGCAAGUUGUAUAGCAUGAUGAAUGAGAACUUUCAAGUUUUGGAAAAUUAAGACUAAUUACUUGUUCACAUGGAUGUGUGAGUCAAGUAAAGGACUUAGGGAUCGAGUACACAUUCUUGUGCACUGAUUAAGUCCACCACUAAAGAUCGAUAAGAAGAAUCAAAUAAGGCAGAAGGAUAAAAGUUUCUCAAAUCUGAAAAGAUGGGAGAGUACUUUAGUAUCAGUUUUGUGAUCAUCUUAAUGAUUAAGAAACCAUAUCAAAAUUAGUUCUCUAAGGAAAUCUUAGUGCAUUCUUAUGACUAAGAAGAGGAACUUGAAUUGUUGAAAUGGUUAAAUCAAGAAGAUGAGUCAUACUUCGUUCCAAUACAAGUCUUAGAGUCAUACUCCAAGAUUGUCAUUUGAGUGACAUGUCUUAAAGAAGGUUUAAAACACUUGUCAAAUGUAAGAGUAAAAGUUUUCUACUCUUGUACAUUUGAAAUUGGUAAGUUGUGAUGUUUUGGAUAAAACAAAGACCAACUUAGGCCAAUUGGGUAAAGUGUUUUUCUUGAUUAGAAUCCGCACUAUCUCUUGGAUGUUUGACAAGGGAGUCUUAUAUGUCAAGAGGACAGUGGGAGUCUUAAAGGUCUUGAAAGUCUCAAGAACUAAUCAAGAAUAAAACCUGAAGUUCUUCACUAGCACACGACUUGAGGUUUAUAACCUAUCGUGUUGACAUAUUCUGUGCCCAUUCCAGUUAAAGUUGGCUUUGCAUAUGAGUUCUUAGAGUUCUCAAUUUGUUGCACAACAACUUGGAAGCAAUGGCAGGCCCUUGAGCUGCCAGGUGGCAAGAAAUUAAGAUUGAGUUCAGUCCAUAUGAGUUUGGAUUUGUCAUUAUCCUUGUCUUGUGACUAUGAUUUUGACAAUUCACAUGGAUAAGAACACAUACACCAUUAAAUCUAAGUGUCAUAAGGUUUCUCUCCGAUUCAUGAAAAUGAUGGUGAGGAAACACUUUCACUAAGUAGAUUUUAGCUAGAUAGCAAUUGUGAUAUUUGCAUUCUCAAAGUCGUUAGUGGAGCGCGUGUGGUUAACCGGCACACUAACCUGGACUUGUGAGAAGUGGCAAAAAGGUCUAAACAUUAUGAUUACGGCAUCCCUCUUCAUAAUUGUUUAGACACACAAGUGUGCUAUCUAAGGGAAGGUGUAUGAUUUUGAUAAAGUUUUAUCAAAACAAUCUAGUAUCAGAAAUCUGAACUUUGGUAAGAAAGUCAAUGAAGUAUUGAUUUCUAGAAGUCCAGCUGAUUUCUGAGUACAUGUCAAAGCUAGUGGGAGCAUAAGUGUUAUGCUAAUAAUCAUCAUGUUAGUGGGAGCAUGAUAAUUAUGAUAAGUAUUGCAAGUUAGCAAUGUUAAUUAUAGAAAACAAAAGUUUCAAUUGGGAAAAAGUUGUUUUGCUAUAAUUAAGGGAGAGGAAAUUAUACUUCAUCUCAAAUCUAUAAGCUUAGAUCGUGAGGUUUUAAUCAUUUAGUCAAGGAUAUAUAUGAAUUUCAUGUUGGAAUGGCUCAACAUAAGGAAAUUCUGUAUAUGGGUCCAUUAUUUGCGUUCUAAAAUUCGAUUAUGAUUACGGCAUCCCUUUUCAUAAUCUGAAUUAUGAGAACUUGGCAAAUUGAAAUGGAAAUAUUAUAGCAAAAGACUGGUUUAGUCUUUAUGUGAGACAUCAUGAAUCGUGUCCCAUAUGCUUCGGAUAUAGGAUCGAUUACAUGUGCUAUAUUCAUCCGUUCUAAAAUUUUCCAAAUGCCUGGGGCAUUAAGAAGGGAAAAGGUUUAGAACUGGAUAUGACUAAAAGGAUUAAACAAUUGUCGAGGACAAUCUAAGGUUUACCAAAGAUUGGUUACUCAAGGACAAUUGGAAGUAUAGUGAUAAUUCUGGAAGGACCAUAUUGACAUAAUCUGUAAGGAGGCAACUCUUGUUCAGAAGUGAUAGUCAAAAUGGAAUCUGGAAAUGUUUCAAAGUUAGAAUUUUCAAUCUGUGUAAGAUUAAGGAAACUUAAUGCAAGAAGGAUGUUUCCAAGGAGUUGAUCUCCUUUGGAAUGCUCUGUAAUGUUUGUUGUCAAGUCUUUAUGACUUUGUGCAUAAUCAUUACAAGAGGAUCAAUGCAUAUAAGUUUAGAAUCUAACAGAUUUCAGUAAAUGGCAUGAAUUUGGAAUUCUUGCAUUUGCAGUAAGGAUUUGGGAGUGUGAAAAGAGAAUCAUUGAAGUUAUGUUCAAUUGAUCUAGUUCACAAAGUAAAGAUCAUAGACAAACAUAGUAUGCAUACUUGGUGUGUGGCAUGACUAGUGUUUAAGAAAACAUAGUGUACAUGCUUGGAGCAUGGGACAACUAUUGUUUUAAAUUCAAGAAUAAAGUUGAUAGCUGAAACAGUAUACAAUGAAUAAUGUGUAAUCAUAUGGUGAUAAAUAAAAGGUGUUUUAUUUAUGUUCAAAGGGUUGAUACCAUAUUGGAUUCAAUUAUUAUUGUGUUUCAUUUUGCAUGUUUUGACUUCCCGAAUAAACUAGGUUAUUCUUCCGGAAUGACUAAGUUAUUCAAACCAUCCACAGUCGGUCAUAUGUUGGAAGUAGAUAUGAAUUAAGACUGUCAUGGGUUGGCUUGUAGAGGUCUAAGGUGUUGGACAAAGGGCUACAACACUCAUGAGUGCUCAUAAGGUCUGAGUAUUGGAUUCAACCCGCGCUCAUUGGAAUCACUUCAUGGAUUUUAUCACGAGUGAUCGUGAGACGAUAAUAUCUUAUAUUCUUCAAACCUAGAGAUAUGAGUUGUUACUAUGAGUUGGUUAUACAUUGAGCGCACGAAAACGCAUUGGUAACUCGAUGUUAUAAAACGUGCCUUUGUGUAUGAUUCAACAAGUAGUAGAACAAGCCAUAUGAGUCGAAGUUAUCUGUUCCUUCUUGGAUUAGAAGCUGAUAUCUGGGCCCCUCGAUGAUUUUGUUUUGACCCAUGUACCGGGCCCGGUCAGAACUAAGUUGAUGUGUUCAAUUAAGUUCUAUGUCAAACAAAUCGGAAAUCGGGAAACAAANNNNNNNNNNNNNNNNNNNNNNNNNNNNNNNNNNNNNNNNNNNNNNNNNNNNNNNNNNNNNNNNNNNNNNNNNNNNNNNNNNNNNNNNNNNNNNNNNNNNUUCAUCGGCAAGGUCAGAGUUCGACAGAAGCUUUUGAGAGCUAUGAUUGCUAGUCGGGUUAUGAAGUCAUACUUGCAAUAAUAUUUUUAGACUUAUCCAAGUGGGAUACUAUUGGAUU
rnacentral:lncRNA from 1 species